rnacentral:precursor_RNA from 15 species
CUUGGUGGUGUUUUUGUUACAUUCAAACUGACUUGAGCCUUGCGAAUAAUUCCUAAUUUAAAGAGCGAUUUGUUCGUGUGGCUCGAGUUAGAUAAAAUGUCUUUCCCCCAAUUAUCGUGA